rnacentral:rRNA from 1 species
CCUACGGGAGGCUGCAGUGAGGAAUAUUGGUCAAUGGACGAGAGUCUGAACCAGCCAAGUAGCGUGAAGGAUGACUGCCCUAUGGGUUGUAAACUUCUUUUAUAUGGGAAUAAAAUGUUCCACGUGUGGGAUUUUGUAUGUACCAUAUGAAUAAGGAUCGGCUAACUCCGUGCCAGCAGCCGCGGUAAUACGGAGGAUCCGAGCGUUAUCCGGAUUUAUUGGGUUUAAAGGGAGCGUAGGUGGAUUGUUAAGUCAGUUGUGAAAGUUUGCGGCUCAACCGGAAAAUUGCAGUUGAAACUGGCAGUCUUGAGUACAGUAGAGGUGGGCGGAAUUCGUGGUGUAGCGGUGAAAUGCUUAGAUAUCACGAAGAACUCCGAUUGCGAAGGCAGUUCACUGGACUGCAACUGACACUGAGGCUCGAAAGUGUGGGUAUCAAACAGGAUUAGAUACCCGUGUAGUC